UUUGAUGGCCGUAUCUCCCUGAAUGCACCUGAUCUCUGAUCUCGUCUGAUCUCAGAAGCUAAGCAGGGUUGGGCCUGCUUAAUACUUGGAUGGGAGAAACUAUAGUGCUGAGAC
rnacentral:rRNA from 1 species